CUUUAUAGAGUGGAUAAAAAACACUGCCUGCAGUUGUUUGCCUCUGAAUCUUUGUCACACGAUCUUCAAAGACACACCCAUCGGCCAUAACAGUUCAUAGACUUGUUUCAUACUUUCAUGUCAUCACUCAUCAGUUCAGUGGACAGUGGAUCUUCACAGUUCACAUUCAUUAGUCAUUAGACUCAUUACUGAUAUCAGAUAUUUCGAAGGCAUUCCUGAGGCUGUUUCAGAGAGUGAGCAAAGAGGUGGUUGAUUAGUUACCAAUAUUUUG